rnacentral:rRNA from 1 species
UACGUAGGGUGCAAGCGUUGUCCGGAAUUAUUGGGCGUAAAGAGCUCGUAGGCGGUUUGUCGCGUCUGCUGUGAAAACUCGGGGCUUAACUCCGGGCCUGCAGUGGGUACGGGCAGACUAGAGUGCGGUAGGGGAGACUGGAAUUCCUGGUGUAGCGGUGAAAUGCGCAGAUAUCAGGAGGAACACCGGCGGUGUAGACGGCUAUCUGGACAGCAACUGACGCUGAGACACGAAAGCGUGGGGAGCAAACAGG